rnacentral:rRNA from 1 species
UACGUAGGGACCAAGCGUUGUUCGGAUUUACUGGGCGUAAAGGGCGCGUAGGCGGCGUGUUAAGUCAGCUGUGAAAUCUCCAAGCUUAACUUGGAACGGUCAGCUGAUACUGAUGUGCUAGAGUGCAGAAGGGGCAACCGGAAUUCUUGGUGUAGCGGUGAAAUGCGUAGAUAUCAAGAGGAACACCCGAGGUGAAGACGGGUUGCUGGGCUGACACUGACGCUGAGGCGCGAAAGCUAGGGUAGCAAACGGG